CACGUGAGCAACCUGGCCUUCAAGCGAGGAAGUAAUGAGUGGAAACGCUCUGUAAUACCUCAUAACGAUUUUUUACCGCAUGAUAGGAAUACCAAGAAUUUAUCACUUGAAGAUGGGCGUCCGCGUCCGAUUAGCUAGUUGGUGAGGUAACGGCUCACCAAGGCGACGAUCGGUAGCCGUACUGAGAGGUAGAUCGGCCACAUUGGGACUGAGACACGGCCCAGACUCCUACGGGAGGCAGCAGUGGGGAAUAUUGCACAAUGGGAGGAAACUCUGAUGCAAGCGAUGCCGCGUGAGCGAAGAAGGCCUUUUGGUUGUAAAGCUCUGUUAUCAGGGACGAAAAUGACGGUACCUGAGGAGGAAGCUCCGGCUAACUACGUGCCAGCAGCUGC
rnacentral:rRNA from 1 species